CUCCCACUCCUCUCCCUCCUUGUUUUUCCAUGACGGGCCAGAUAUCGAGGAGGGGAGAACAGAGGACAACACUGCAGGACAAGGACAAACUCAUCAGUCGUCUCCAGGAUUGUCUCACUAUCCGCCAGACAGCAGUGUGUCUGUCACUUCUAGCCAGUCUUGUGUUCCUCUGGUGUGGAAGAGGUAUUGAUUUGGAAUCAGUCCUCCCCUGUCCUCCUCCAGGCUCAGGAUGAGACGCAGGCUGUGUCCCAACAUGGCACCCUAUUCUCUCCUACCUCGUCUCACUUCUCUCCUUGCUCUAGAUCAGAACAGGGUGCCAUUUGGCACGGAGCCUGAGCCACACAGUGAUGAACAACCUCUGUGGUGAUUCUCUCCUCCAAUCAGCAUCGGGGGGAGAGAGUUGUUGAGGUUCUGUUGUGACAACAAGGGAUGGCAGGGUCGAGGUUCUGUUGUGACAACAAGGGAUGGCAGGGUCGAGGUUCUGUUGUGACAACAAGGGAUGGCAGGGUAGAGGUUCUGUUGUGACAUCAAGGGAUGGCAGGGUAGAGGUUCUGUUGUGACAACAAGGGAUGGCAGGGUAGAGGUUCUGUUGUGACAACAAGGGAUGGCAGGGUAGAGGUUCUGUUGUGACAUCAAGGGAUGGCAGGGUAGAGGUUCUGUUGUGACAACAAGGGAUGGCAGGGUAGAGGUUCUGUUGUGACAACAAGGGAUGGCAGGGUAGAGGUUCUGUUGUGACAUCAAGGGAUGGCAUGGUCGAGGUUCUGUUGUGACGUGACACAACAAGGGAUGGCAGGGUCGAGGUUCUGUUGUGACGUGACACAACAAGGGAUGGCAGGGUAGAGGUUCUGUUGUGACAACAAGGGAUGGCAGGGUCGAGGUUCUGUUGUGACAUCAAGGGAUGGCAGGGUAGAGGUUCUGUUGUGACAUCAAGGGAUGGCAGGGUAGAGGUUCUGUUGUGACAACAAGGGAUGGCAGGGUAGAGGUUCUGUUGUGACAACAAGGGAUGGCAGGGUAGAGGUUCUGUUGUGACAACAAGGGAUGGCAGGGUAGAGGUUCUGUUGUGACAACAAGGGAUGGCAGGGUAGAGGUUCUGUUGUGACAACAAGGGAUGGCAGGGUAGAGGUUCUGUUGUGACAUCAAUGGAUGGCAGGGUAGAGGUUCUGUUGUGACAACAAGGGAUGGCAGGGUAGAGGUUCUGUUGUGAC